GCAUCUAAGCGGGAAGCAGGCCCUAAGAUGAGUCAUCCCUGACUUUAAGUCAAUAAAGACCGUUGAAGACUACGACGUUGAUAGGCUGGAUGUGGAAGCACCGUGAGGUGUGUAGCUUGCCAGUACUAAUUGUCUGAACGUCUUGACCAUACAACCCCGGAAG
rnacentral:rRNA from 1 species